rnacentral:rRNA from 1 species
GUCUGAAUAUGGGGGGACCAUCCUCCAAGGCUAAAUACUCCUGACUGACCGAUAGUGAACCAGUACCGUGAGGGAAAGGCGAAAAGAACCCCGGCGAGGGGAGUGAAAAAGAACCUGAAACCGUGUACGUACAAGCAGUGGGAGCACGCUCAGGCGUGUGACUGCGUACCUUUUGUAUAAUGGGUCAGCGACUUAUAUUCUGUAGCAAGGUUAACCGAAUAGGGGAGCCGAAGGGAAACCGAGUCUUAACUGGGCGUUAAGUUGCAGGGUAUAGACCCGAAACCCGGUGAUCUAGCCAUGGGCAGGUUGAAGGUUGGGUAACACUAACUGGAGGACCGAACCGACUAAUGUUGAAAAAUUAGCGGAUGACUUGUGGCUGGGGGUGAAAGGCCAAUCAAACCGGGAGAUAGCUGGUUCUCCCCGAAAGCUAUUUAGGUAGCGCCUCGUGAAUUCAUCUCCGGGGGUAGAGCACUGUUUCGGCAAGGGGGUCAUCCCGACUUACCAACCCGAUGCAAACUGCGAAUACCGGAGAAUGUUAUCACGGGAGACACACGGCGGGUGCUAACGUCCGUCGUGAAGAGGGAAACAACCCAGACCGCCAGCUAAGGUCCCAAAGUCAUGGUUAAGUGGGAAACGAUGUGGGAAGGCCCAGACAGCCAGGAUGUUGGCUUAGAAGCAGCCAUCAUUUAAAGAAAGCGUAAUAGCUCACUGGUCGAGUCGGCCUGCGCGGAAGAUGUAACGGGGCUAAACCAUGCACCGAAGCUGCGGCAGCGACGCUUAUGCGUUGUUGGGUAGGGGAGCGUUCUGUAAGCCUGCGAAGGUGUGCUGUGAGGCAUGCUGGAGGUAUCAGAAGUGCGAAUGCUGACAUAAGUAACGAUAAAGCGGGUGAAAAGCCCGCUCGCCGGAAGACCAAGGGUUCCUGUCCAACGUUAAUCGGGGCAGGGUGAGUCGACCCCUAAGGCGAGGCCGAAAGGCGUAGUCGAUGGGAAACAGGUUAAUAUUCCUGUACUUGGUGUUACUGCGAAGGGGG